AAACACAACAAAAGGGUUAGCGACGGUGGUAGCCAGCCAAAGAGCAUAUGAAAAAUAGCAGUGACGAGGCAAAGGUUUCCACUUUGGUCCAUACUUUCUCUUGGUCCAAUUGUUGUUGCUACAAAGGGACAAAAGGCAAAACAGUCCACUCACAAGCGAAAGCGAAGACGAUGCAAAAAUUGCAAGUCAUUUGGACAUGAUAGACGAAAAUGUACUAAAGUGUGCACAGAUGCAUAUGAAACUCACAAUUAUGAUCAUGUUGGGGCACCCAAUAAUGUUGAGAAUGUAAAUUUGAAUCUGAUAGGAUCAUCCGAUGGCCUAUUGCAAUCAGAUUCACAGCAUGGAUGCAAUAAGGAAUUAAUGGAUAGUAAUUGGUUUCAGAUCAUUCCUCCUGGUCAGGCAUUAAUGUGGGCAUGCAAUCCUUCAUUAAUCCAAAGUCAUGUACAAAACACUAGCUUGUUAGGAGAUGAAAAGUAUUCAGUGAAUGAACCAGAUUUCAGCCAAGACCAUUAAGGAAUUUUAUUCUUGAGAGAGUACAAAUGUUUUUGCACGUCUUUGCUCAAAGCUUUUAGGAUGAUUUAAGUUUCUUCGAAGCUUGCUUGGAAAAAAGUUUGGUGAUCAAAUUUCAGAUAUUGUUAGCAUCCAAGUGCUCUUGGGUUUGUAAACCAGAAAUGUCAAUCCAAACUGAAGCUUUUGAUAGUGAUAUCAGAGCCCUUGAUGCUGGUGAUCAAAUUCUCAAAUCAAGUUACUUGCCUUUUGAUUGCUUCAGAUUUCUGAAGCCAAAGUCUUUGUGCUCUAAAUUCAGUUCUUGGCCAUGUAAUCUUGUCAUGCUUAGAUAGCUAUAUCUAGUGUCCUGCCAGCUUAAUUUUGAUGCGUAAGUAUCAAUUAUUAAAAGUUAGAUUCAUUCUGAUGCUCAAAAUGAGCCGUUUUCUCCUAUUUUGAAAUACCAAUUUCAUAUCAAAUGUCUUGUGCAUGUAGAUUUUGCUGUUUACUU